AGAGUUUGAUCCUGGCUCAGGACGAACGCUGGCGGCGUGCUUAACACAUGCAAGUCGAGCGGAAAGGCCCUUCGGGGUACUCGAGCGGCGAACGGGUGAGUAACACGUGAGCAACCUGCCCUUAGCUUUGGGAUAACCCUCGGAAACGGGGGCUAAUACCGAAUGUUCACUUCCUGUCGCAUGGUGGGGGGUGGAAAGUUUUUCGGCUAGGGAUGGGCUCGCGGCCUAUCAGCUUGUUGGUGGGGUGAUGGCCUACCAAGGCGACGACGGGUAGCCGGCCUGAGAGGGCGACCGGCCACACUGGGACUGAGACACGGCCCAGACUCCUACGGGAGGCAGCAGUGGGGAAUAUUGCACAAUGGGCGCAAGCCUGAUGCAGCGACGCCGCGUGAGGGAUGACGGCCUUCGGGUUGUAAACCUCUUUCAGCAGGGACGAAGGGUGACUGACGGUACCUGCAGAAGAAGCGCCGGCCAACUACGUGCCAGCAGCCGCGGUA
rnacentral:rRNA from 1 species